CGCUGGCGGCGUGCCUAAUACAUGCAAGUCGUACGCUUCUUUUUCCACCGGAGCUUGCUCCACCGGAAAAAGAAGAGUGGCGAACGGGUGAGUAACACGUGGGUAACCUGCCCAUCAGAAGGGGAUAACACUUGGAAACAGGUGCUAAUACCGUAUAACAAUCGAAACCGCAUGGUUUUGAUUUGAAAGGCGCUUUCGGGUGUCGCUGAUGGAUGGACCCGCGGUGCAUUAGCUAGUUGGUGAGGUAACGGCUCACCAAGGCCACGAUGCAUAGCCGACCUGAGAGGGUGAUCGGCCACAUUGGGACUGAGACACGGCCCAAACUCCUACGGGAGGCAGCAGUAGGGAAUCUUCGGCAAUGGACGAAAGUCUGACCGAGCAACGCCGCGUGAGUGAAGAAGGUUUUCGGAUCGUAAAACUCUGUUGUUAGAGAAGAACAAGGAUGAGAGUAACUGUUCAUCCCUUGACGGUAUCUAACCAGAAAGCCACGGCUAACUACGUGCCAGCAGCCGCGGUAAUACGUAGGUGGCAAGCGUUGUCCGGAUUUAUUGGGCGUAAAGCGAGCGCAGGCGGUUUCUUAAGUCUGAUGUGAAAGCCCCCGGCUCAACCGGGGAGGGUCAUUGGAAACUGGGAGACUUGAGUGCAGAAGAGGAGAGUGGAAUUCCAUGUGUAGCGGUGAAAUGCGUAGAUAUAUGGAGGAACACCAGUGGCGAAGGCGGCUCUCUGGUCUGUAACUGACGCUGAGGCUCGAAAGCGUGGGGAGCAAACAGGAUUAGAUACCCUGGUAGUCCACGCCGUAAACGAUGAGUGCUAAGUGUUGGAGGGUUUCCGCCCUUCAGUGCUGCAGCUAACGCAUUAAGCACUCCGCCUGGGGAGUACGACCGCAAGGUUGAAACUCAAAGGAAUUGACGGGGGCCCGCACAAGCGGUGGAGCAUGUGGUUUAAUUCGAAGCAACGCGAAGAACCUUACCAGGUCUUGACAUCCUUUGACCACUCUAGAGAUAGAGCUUCCCCUUCGGGGGCAAAGUGACAGGUGGUGCAUGGUUGUCGUCAGCUCGUGUCGUGAGAUGUUGGGUUAAGUCCCGCAACGAGCGCAACCCUUAUUGUUAGUUGCCAUCAUUUAGUUGGGCACUCUAGCAAGACUGCCGGUGACAAACCGGAGGAAGGUGGGGAUGACGUCAAAUCAUCAUGCCCCUUAUGACCUGGGCUACACACGUGCUACAAUGGGAAGUACAACGAGUCGCGAAGUCGCGAGGCUAAGCUAAUCUCUUAAAGCUUCUCUCAGUUCGGAUUGUAGGCUGCAACUCGCCUACAUGAAGCCGGAAUCGCUAGUAAUCGCGGAUCAGCACGCCGCGGUGAAUACGUUCCCGGGCCUUGUACACACCGCCCGUCACACCACGAGAGUUUGUAACACCCGAAGUCGGUGAGGUAACCUUUUGGAGCCAGCCGCCUAAGGUGGGAUAGAUGA
rnacentral:rRNA from 1 species